GAUUCAUAAUAACUUCUCGAAUCGCACGGCCUUGCGCCGGCGAUGGUUCAUUCAAAUUUCUGCCCUAUCAACUUUCGACGGCUGGGUCUUGGCCAGCCGUGGUGACAACGGGUAACGGAGGGUUAGGGCUCGACCCCGGAGAAGGAGCCUGAGAAACGGCUACUACAUCCAAGGAAGGCAGCAGGCGCGCAAAUUACCCAAUCCCGACACGGGGAGGUAGUGACAAUAAAUACUGAUACAGGGCUCUUUCGGGUCUUGUAAUUGGAAUGAGUACAAUUUAAAUCCCUUAACGAGGAACAAUUGGAGGGCAAGUCUGGUGCCAGCAGCCGCGGUAAUUCCAGCUCCAAUAGCGUAUAUUAAAGUUGUUGAGGUUAAAAAGCUCGUAGUUGAACCUUGGGCCUAGCCGGCCGGUCCGCCUCACCGCGUGCACUGGCUCGGCUGGGUCUUUCCUUCUGGAGAACCGCAUGCCCUUCACUGGGUGUGCCGGGGAACCAGGACU
rnacentral:rRNA from 1 species